GCCCAGGUGUCCAUAAGUGUAUCCCAGGUGUGCCCAGGUGUGAUCCAGGUGUGCCAAGGUGGUGCCCAGGUAUGAUCCAGGUGAGCCCAGGUGUGAUCCAGGUGUGCCCAGGUGUC